AAGGAUAUGCUGGACAAAGGAAUGAUUCACGUCCCUACAUGAGACAGAGCAGGAUGGCCUGAGAUUUCAUCAUACUACUCAGAAUAGCACACAAUUUUAAACUCAUGAAUUUUUCUUUCUAGAAUUUUCUAUGUAAUAUUUUUGUACUGCAGUUCACUGUGGGUAACUGAGACUGGAAAAAGUGAAACCACAGGGACACAACAAGAAGGUCCUCAUCACACCAAAUACUGGCACCUUGGUCUUGGACUUCCAGCCUCCAGAACUGUUAUAGUGCCCUUGGCACAGAUAUCAGCACCACGGACAGCAGACGCUGAUGGUGUACUAGGGUACCUCUCUUACAAGACUUCGCAAGUCAGUGGCAGGUUCAACACCGGACACUCCGAAUGGGGUAUGAAGAAGUGUUGAGAAAGAAUGAGGGGGCACCAAGCAGAAGUGGAGAAGAUGGUUUUUUUGCCUGCUCAUUUAAGAGAAACCUCAAAAGGGCACACAGAAAAAUUUGAAGAUAGAGAAGGAGAGCUUUUAGAGAAUGGAGGCUCUAAAAAAUGGUGGGGCUGCAUCUGGAGAGGCCAACAGAAAGACUAGCCUGGAAACAAGGUUAGCAGCUGACACUUCCAUCCGCAGAAACGUUAGACGAAAUUGCUGGAGCUUUGGAGAAGUCCCCUCUUCCAGAUCAGUCUCUGUGUCA